CCGGUAAGUCGGGCGAUUGCCCUCUUUCAAUCUUAAAAGAGGGAGGAAAGUCCGAACACCCUCCUCUUUAAAAAGAGGAUAAAAUAGUAGCGGCUAACAGCCGUCGACCGAAAGGUUAGAGGUGCGAACAGAGACGCCGGAGUCCGAAAGGAUUCGGGCACCCCGUUAAGGGGUGAGCUUAAAGAGCAAUCUUUAAGGUGAAACGGUUAAAUCCUUAUUGGGCGCAAGAACAAAACCUUUGACAGGCCCAGGGGUAAUCAAGACAUAUAACCCAUUUGGGUGCUUGACCCGAGUUUGCCAGGGGUAAAAAGUAGUUCGCUCGAGCCCGAGAGUAAUCAAGGGCCCAGACAGAUAGUCGCCCCUUUGUUAAAAGCAAAGGACAGAAUUCGGCUUACAGACUUGCCGGGACA
rnacentral:RNase_P_RNA from 1 species